rnacentral:lncRNA from 1 species
GUUGCCCAUCCCUGCUGUAGACCAAUGCCCUUAACAAGUGGUCCAGGGUCCAGGGUUUGUUCAUCAUGGUGAUAAUGUGUAAAGUUACCAACUCAAGGUACAUCUUAUAUAAGACUAAAAUUAGGUUUGAGUGUAAUUAUGUGACAUUUGUAAAAAUGUGGAAUGCUGAACCUCAUACAUUUUGCAGGACUAAUUGAUUGCAAUGGUAGUCUAAUCUAAUCUUUAACCCUGCUUGUGUUACAGAGGAAUUCUACAUGAGCAGUCUGCCUGACAGGGUGUAUAUCUCUGCAUUUAUGAUUCCUGUGUUUUUGGGACUGCUGUGUAUCACUGCAUCUGUGCUCUCCUUAAUCCAUCAGAGAAGAGGUCGGGUUCACUUGUUGUUUAAAUAUGAUAUCAGGUUAUAAUUAUAGAUCACCACGUUUAUUAGUAGGUUCUAUGAUUCAACAUUGUUGUAGGCCAUUUCAGAUGUUAUUGGAAUUAAAUUCCAUAUACUUUCAUUACUGCAUGCAAUACUGUUGUGCAAGUACUUUGUGCAAUGAUGAUAUUAUAUUUUCACCUCCAGUUGUUCGAGAAAAACUGAAGCCUUUGGACGAUAUGAAUACAAAAUUAAAAGCUAUGGAUCAAGGUAUGGAAUAUUUAUCUUCAAUAUAUACAAUAUUUCCUUAAAAUGAAUAAUUUAAAACUGUUUUAAUUCAAACCAAAAUAACAACUUUCCUCCACUGUAUAUUACAGAGGUCAUCAAAAAGACAGAGGAACUCACUUAUAAGGAUAAGUUAAUGGGUACGUAUUAUGUGUUUUACAAUUGAUGGACCAUUAUUUUUUUUCACAAGUAUUAAAAGUGAAUUGAUACAGAAACAUGAUUUUGUAUUUCCACAGGAAUUACUGAAACAAUCCCAGACUCUGGUAACUAUCGGCUACUUUCACAUUAAUGCUGCACAAACUUCAAGUGAUUUGUCAUCUAAAUAUAUUGUAAUGAAAUAGCAGGGAGCAGGCCUCAAACCCUCAAACCUUCUAGCCCGAUGUCUGGCGCGCUAUCGAAUGUGCCGCAAAAGCAUGCUCGUGCGGCGGAGUCGAUUUCCGCGCUUAUAAACCCAGGGUCCUUACAUUACGCUCUCCUUUCAAGGAGCGCGUCCUCGCGCUAGCUUGCGGCUCUAUGUCUUACGGGAACGCGCUCACCGGCCAAGCACACGCACUGUCGUGGAUGCAAGGUCCGAUCACUUCUGACACCAAUGUAAUGAAACAGCAGGGAGCAGGUCUCGAAUCCUCGACCUUCGAGCCCGAGGACCGGUGCGCUAUCGACUGUAUCGCAAAAGCAUGCUCAUACGGCAGAGUAGAUUUCCGCGUUUAUAAACCCAGGGUCGUUAUAAUAUAAUCCAUGUAGUUUGGUUUUCAUAUAUAUAAUGUGGUACGAAAUUAUUGACACCCUUGAUAAAGAUGUGCAACAAUGAUUGGAUAAAAAAAAAUCUAAUACUGAGUAAUAUUGUAUGCUCAAAGGAAUUAUAUUAUUUAAUUUCACAGAGAAACAGAUUUUGAUUAACAAUAACUUUUUUUCUCAAAAAUGCAGAGGUAAAAAUGAUUGACUCACCUGUUUUCCAUACAUUUCAUUACCUCACCCUGUGAGGAUUAGUUGGAAAACACAUUGGGAGGGAUUUCCAUACAGAAACCUUCCAGAUAUUUGAUAUAGUUCGUCUGGACUUCCCUCUUCAAUUCAAACCAUGGGUUUUCAAUGGGUUUCAAGUCCGGAGACUGACAUUGUCGUGUGCUUGUCUUGCUGAAAAGUUCACUUGCGGCCAAGUGUCAGCCUCCUGGCAGAGGAAACCAGGUUUUUGGAUAAAAUGUCAUUGUACUGGGUAAAGUUCAUGAUGCUGUUGCACCUUAACAAGGGCCCCAGGACCUUUGGAACAAAAUAACCCAAUAACAUCAAAGAUCCACCAUAUGUUAUAGUAGUUAUGGGGUUAUUUUCUGCUCAUUAAUUCUCUUUUCGACACCAAACCCACCACAGGUGUGCGUGGCCAUAUAGCUCUAUUUUCAUGGAAUCUGAACAAAGCACUGGUUCCAAUCCAAAUGCCAGUGUAGUUUAGCAAACUGCAGUUUUUUUACAUUUUAUGGAUGACAUGAAAAUAGAGCUCUUUGGCCACGUGCACCAGUGGUGGGUUUGGUGUCAAAAUGAGAAUGCAUAAGCAGAAAAGCUUACUUCUUAAAGGGGACUGCAAUUAUUGACACCCUUGAUAAAGAUGAGCAAUAAUAACUGUAUUCAAAAAAUAAUUCAGAUACUGAGCUAUAUUGUACGUUAAAAAAAAUCCUGAAAUUAUAUUAUUUUAUACAGAUACAAUAUCUCAGAGAAAUAGAUUUUGUUGAACAAGUGAUUUACCUUUUUUUUGUCAAAAAGGAAGAGGUCAACAUUUUUGAUAAUUAUUGUUGACACCCAUAAAGAUUCUUAUGAAUAAAGUAGUCGAAUAUUUAGUAUUUGGUGCCAUAUUCCUAGAACGUAAUGAGUACAUCAAGCUUGUGAAUCUACAAACUUGUUGGAUACAUUUUCAAUUCGUUUUGGUUGUGUUUUAGAUUAUUUUGUGCCCAAUAGAAAUGAAUGGUAAAUAAUGUAUCGUGUAAUUUUGGAGUCACUUUUAUUAGAAAUAAGAAUAAAAUGUGCUUUUAUACACUUCUAAUUGUAUUCUUAUAAAAGUGACUCUAAAAUGACACAAUACAUUAUUUGCCAUUCAUUUCUAUUGAGCACAAAAUGAUCUGAAACACAACCAAAACUAAGUGUUUAGAAACAUUUUCUAUUCUUAUUUACAAUCAAAUUGUCUCCAAAAUGACUCUCAUAACCGCAUACUCAUUAUAUCAUUUCAAAUCGAAAGGGUUGGAUUACAGAGCUAAAACAACCAAAAAUGUGUCACUGUUCCAAUACUUUUGUAUAUAUACUUCCAUCAAUUCCUUUUGUUGUCCCCUACAUAGUUUGGAGCUUGAUGGUUGAUCAUGCAGGUAAUUAUGAACACUUUUAUAUUUCAUAUGUGUCAUGUGUCUAUGUGUCAUUAGUUUGGCACUAAUAGAAUACACACACACACACACACACACACACACACACACACACGCCUAUAUCAUUGUAUGUUUCAUUUUUAACAUGUGAUCACAUUUCCAACCACAAAUAAGAUUCAAUUCAAUAACAAUGUUUGAUAUUUUAUCUUUUUAACAUUAACGUGAUCACAUUGCCUACCAUAAAUUCAAAUAAAUUGUAUUGUUUUUUCAAUGGUCAUGCUAAUUAAUUUUUAGAACAAACAUAGCAUGUUGAAAUAUGCUAAUGUUAUUGGAUUUAUAUCUUGUGUUAAAAUAUCAGAAUUAUUUUUAACAUUGAAACAAAAAUGACAUUGACGUUUUUUUCAGUGGAUGUGACAUUCGACGCUGACACUGCACAUGUCAAACUCUCUUUAUCUGAUGAUAACAAAUGUCUCAAAUUUGUUGAAUUAAAAGAAAUAAAGGAUUGUGAGAAUUUCAAAGAAAAAGGCAAAGGAAGCGGCAGCAUGAAGUUUAAAGAAGAAAACAAAGAAGAAGACACAGAGCGUUUUGGAGGAAAACC